rfam:Ornithorhynchus anatinus chromosome 2, whole genome shotgun sequence.
CCCCUCUCAGGAGCGCAUCUGGAGAGUCUCCGGUUUUCUACCAGUCUCGGCUAUGGGAGGGAGAGUCAAACAGAGUCACACCUAUUUCAUUCCUAGCUUGGGCAAUGGCUAGCGAGUGGAAGGUAAUCUGCUACAAGU